rnacentral:lncRNA from 1 species
UGUGGUUACAGACUUUUGUGUGAGGUUUUGAAAGUUGGGUAGGCGACUCUAGGCCGAGAAGUUCAGAAAACUGUUUACUGCCUCCUUUACAAAACGUUCGGCCCUGCGAGACGCUCAUAUUUUACACAACGUUCGGUGGUGUUCGCAUUGUAAGGUCCUUUAACUAUCGAACUAGCCGGAAGGCUGUUUGCAAUCUGGUGGACAAAGCAACAAGCAGAUGUCAGAUCCAUACAACGUGUGCCCACUAAUAAGCGUUGUACAUUGGAAGACAGGGACCACGACUUUGAUCGCUCAGAGAGAACUAGGGUCUUGUGCAUGAAAAAGGUAGCUAAAGUGAGCCUAGACAGGAAUGCUGUUAAGUGGGACCCCUUUGUGUUCGAUGGGACAGCAGUGCAAGGCAGAAUGAAAGCAAACUAUGAUCCCUCUGAGCGUUAGAACUGGACUCGAAACUGAUGAUACACAACAUGUUUGCGUGUUACUUGACUGCCUUUCGAUUAAAAAUUCAAGGCUGCUGACAUAGGACGUUUCUUUCAAAAUUCUAUUUUAGACAUUGUCAUGAGUCAAUAGACCAAGUUUGAAGACAUUUUGUAUAUUGGAAAUUUUAGUUAUUACACAGUUAACUCUCGUAAGCCUUUAAGGCUAUGUAUCAUGAUGUAGAUUGGACUUUUCCUGAGUCAGUUCGUUUAAACAUUUGUAAUAUUUUACAACUAACAUAUUCCAGAACUUUCAGCUUCAUUUUUAUUAGUUUUAAAGACAUGUAACUUCAUGUAUAAUCAUACGUAAACAAGAUAAAACUCACACUUAUCAUAUGAUUGUAAAAUAAUGUAUCAUUUCCCGAAAAUUCGUUCCUAUGAAUAUUUGGUUUUUACAUAUACCUUGUCUCUACAUUGAAAGUAAGAAAUCCUGUUAUUUCUGAAACAAUAGUUCAUGAUGUGUUAAAAGAACUUUUACAUUAAUUUUGUAAACUUUAAAGAUGUGUUUAUAGUAUCUAAAAUAUGUAUAUUAUUUCUGUAAUGAUGGAUUUCGGAUAAAAUCAGACGCUUACACCAGUUUUGCCAAUGAAUGUGAAUGUAACAUACGAUAUUAAAAUUUUAUAUUUCGAAACUUCAAAAUAAUUUCUUCCAGUAACUGCUCCACAUGUCGAAGCAUAGUUGUAUCAAUUGCAAACUAUUUUCUCUGUAUUACAAUUCCUACAAUUUUAAAGGUGUGUAAUAUAUCCACUAUAUUUUAGCUACUGAAAAAGUGGAAUGAAUUUGUUUCUGAACAUUCAUUAUAUAUUUACUUUGCAAAAUAAUGCCAGAAUUGUUUAGCUAUUGAUCGCUUUAGCUUGUUUUUCUUAAAGACCCAAUGUUUAUCUGUAAAUAAAGUGAACAAGGCUUAAUAUAUCAACAGUACGUUUUCUUUUCUGAAAAUAGAAAGACUACGUUAAUACUUCUUAAUCCCGUAAUUCUGAUUUUGCAUUACAAGAAGUAUGACGUCAAUUUGUUUGUUUGUUAAAGAAGGCUGAGUAAAGUAAAUUUCAACCAAUGAAUUCCAUCAUAUACACAA